rnacentral:rRNA from 1 species
GACGAACGCUGGCGGCGUGCUUAACACAUGCAAGUCGAACGGAAAGGCCCUGCUUUUGUGGGGUGCUCGAGUGGCGAACGGGUGAGUAACACGUGAGUAACCUGCCCUUGACUUUGGGAUAACUUCAGGAAACUGGGGCUAAUACCGGAUAGGAGCUCCUGCUGCAUGGUGGGGGUUGGAAAGUUUCGGCGGUUGGGGAUGGACUCGCGGCUUAUCAGCUUGUUGGUGGGGUAGUGGCUUACCAAGGCUUUGACGGGUAGCCGGCCUGAGAGGGUGACCGGCCACAUUGGGACUGAGAUACGGCCCAGACUCCUACGGGAGGCAGCAGUGGGGAAUAUUGCACAAUGGGCGGAAGCCUGAUGCAGCAACGCCGCGUGCGGGAUGACGGCCUUCGGGUUGUAAACCGCUUUCGCCUGUGACGAAGCGUGAGUGACGGUAAUGGGUAAAGAAGCACCGGCUAACUACGUGCCAGCAGCCGCGGUGAUACGUAGGGUGCGAGCGUUGUCCGGAUUUAUUGGGCGUAAAGGGCUCGUAGGUGGUUGAUCGCGUCGGAAGUGUAAUCUUGGGGCUUAACCCUGAGCGUGCUUUCGAUACGGGUUGACUUGAGGAAGGUAGGGGAGAAUGGAAUUCCUGGUGGAGCGGUGGAAUGCGCAGAUAUCAGGAGGAACACCAGUGGCGAAGGCGGUUCUCUGGGCCUUUCCUGACGCUGAGGAGCGAAAGCGUGGGGAGCGAACAGGCUUAGAUACCCUGGUAGUCCACGCUGUAAACGGUGGGUACUAGGUGUGGGGUCCAUUCCACGGGUUCCGUGCCGUAGCUAACGCUUUAAGUACCCCGCCUGGGGAGUACGGCCGCAAGGCUAAAACUCAAAGGAAUUGACGGGGCCCCGCACAAGCGGCGGAGCAUGCGGAUUAAUUCGAUGCAACGCGUAGAACCUUACCUGGGUUUGACAUGGAUCGGGAGUGCUCAGAGAUGGGUGUGCCUCUUUUGGGGUCGGUUCACAGGUGGUGCAUGGCUGUCGUCAGCUCGUGUCGUGAGAUGUUGGGUUAAGUCCCGCAACGAGCGCAACCCUUGUUCACUGUUGCCAGCACGUUAUGGUGGGGACUCAGUGGAGACCGCCGGGGUCAACUCGGAGGAAGGUGGGGAUGACGUCAAGUCAUCAUGCCCCUUAUGUCCAGGGCUUCACGCAUGCUACAAUGGCUGGUACAGAGAGUGGCGAGCCUGUGAGGGUGAGCGAAUCUCGGAAAGCCGGUCUCAGUUCGGAUUGGGGUCUGCAACUCGACCUCAUGAAGUCGGAGUCGCUAGUAAUCGCAGAUCAGCAACGCUGCGGUGAAUAGUUUCCCGGGGCU